UUACCAGAGUACUAUGAAUGUUGUAAAUUUAAAACUCAAAGAACUUGGCGGUGUUUUAGACCACUCAGGGGAACCUGUCUCGUAAUCGACAAUCCACGUUGUACCUGACCUUUUUUUGUUUUCAGUUUGUAUACCGUUGUCGUCAGGUAACUUUUUAGAAUACAGAAGUUGGCUGGAGAAAUAGAUAAUUUAGUACGUCAAAUCAAGGUGCAGCUUAUAGAAAGGGGAGGAUGGGUUACAAUUAUUAAUUUAUAAUUACGAAUGAUUAUGUUAAAGUGUAAUGUUAGAAGGAGGACUUGAAAGUAAAUUAGAUUUAUAAAAAUAAAUUUGAAUAAGGCUCUGAAACGUGU
rnacentral:rRNA from 1 species